ensembl:lncRNA
UGCAGCUCCAAGGAUUUGGUUUUUAUUUUACUGUUUUGCAGAGUCAUGUCUCUCCUAGGCAGGUCUUUUUCUGUGUUUUUUUUUUUUUUUUUUUUGCAAUGGGGAAAACUAUUUUGGGUGUAUAAACAUUAUGCUAUGUUUAGUUAUUUCAUGAGGUUGGGUAGUUCCUAAAUGUCAGUGGCUUUAUAUGACUAUCAUUACAUUUUGCAAUCUAGUCUGAACCUUACUGUAGAAGUCAUAAUAUAAGAGAAGCAAAGGUCUAUUUAACAUAUUGGAAGGUUCCUUGUUCAGAGCUUUCUGGAAAAAAAGUUGUUUGGAUUGGUUUCUCAGCAAUCAACUUGGAUUAGCUCAUGUAGCACAAAGGCCAUGAUGUAGGACCAGCUGUAUUCAGGAUUCGAACAGUGAAGUCAUAAAGAACUUUCUUUCUUUCUCUGUUUCUAAUUUUAUCCCUGUCUCUUGGUCCUUCUUUUGCUUAUCAUGGCUUUCUUCUUAGGCACAUUUUUCUCUAGUGGCUCCAUGAUAUACCAACAGAUCUAAGCUUUACCUCUUGGCAUAGUUUUACUUUAGGCAAAACCAUAGGAUUGAAUUUAAAUGGACAGGCCUAGAGUAAGUGGCCAUUUUCAGAUUUGGGAGGAAUCUGAGUGCAGUUCUCCAGGGGAAAUUAAAAAUGCUGUAUCAGAAAAAUGUGAACGAAUAGCAGGAUGGCAGUAACAACAGAUACACACUAUUGUGGGAAAGGUGCUCACCAGUUUCCAGCUGAACGAUUCAAGUUUUGAGAACUCACAUGACUAUCUGUAAGUGGACCCAAGUUUCAGGGAAUAGACUCACAUAACUGAGCUCGGGGAGACUGAUAUAUAAACUGAGUAUCCAUUUAUUGUUUUACAGUAAGAAUGUUCGAACAACCUCAGCUGCCAAUGUUGACAGAACAAUUCAUUUUCCCCACUUAGGUAAACCACAAGGAAAGCCAGUCAUAAGAAAUGUGUUAAAUGAAGAUGGAUCAGAAAAACAGAGUACACAGUAUCGUGGUCCACAGUAGGGUCUACCACAGGGACCAGAUUUUAAAAAUUGAUUUCCGGCCAGGCGCGGUGGGUCAAGCCUGUAAUCCCAGCACUUUUGGCGGCCGAGGUGGGUGGAUCACGAGGUCAAGAGAUCGAGACCAUCCUGGUCAACAUGGUGAAACCCCGUCUCUACUCAAAAUACAAAAAAAAAAAAAUUAGCUGGGCAUGGUGGCGCACGCCUGUAAUCCCAGCUACUCGGGAGGCUGAGGCAGGAGAAUUGCCUGAACCCAGGAGGUGGAGGUUGCCGUGAGCCGAGAUCGCGCCAUUGCACUCCAGCCUGGGUAACAAGAGCAAAACUCCGUCACACACACAAAAAAAAAAACAACAAAAAAAAUUGAUUUCCAAAUAAAUUCUGUUAUGUAACAGAACACACUGUUAAAUUUGUACUUUUAAAAAUUUAUUGAGACAUGUUGAUGAUCUAGCAUAUAAUCUAAGUUGGUGAAUGUUUCAAGUCCACUGGAAAAUAAUUUUGAGUUAUUACUUUGUAAAUAUCAGUUAAGUCAAUUGGGUCAUAGUGUUUUAUUUUUAAAUUUUCCUUUAUAUUUACUAAUUUUUGUAUAUGAUUUUAUCAGUCCCUAAAAAAGAGUUGCUGAAACCUCUAGUAAUAGUUAUUACAUUGUCUUUUUUCACUUCUGUUCAUUUUCCUUUAUAUAUUUUGAAGUACUGUUAUCUGGUACAUACACACUGAGAAUUCUUAUGAAUUUUUGAAGAAUGUACUCUUUUUUCAGCAUAAAAUAUCAACCUUUAUCCCUGAUAAUAUAAUUAGUCCUAACAUCUAAUUUGUCUGGCAUUAGUAUAGCAACUGCAGCUUUUCUUUGAUUGAAAAUUUCAUUGCAUAUUCUUCCUUCCUUAUCUUUCUUUAUCUCAUUUGCCA